UGCUGGUGGCGCAGUAAUGCAUUGUGGUGUGGGCGGCGUGGAAAGGACACUGGCAGUGGGCAUCCGGUGGGGCGAGGGUGCACGUGUAGUGUGGUCGUGUGGAAGUUAUAUCGGACCGCGCGUGUGGCCUCGCCGCACCUACCUCUACCUUGGUGCGUGCGUGCGUGCGUGCGGCCGGCGCAGGUGAAAGUUCAUUCCUUUUGGUUGGUUUCUACGCCUCCCUCGCCUCACAAAGCUCUAUUUAUACGGCCCGUUCCUCCUCCCCCAAAACUCGCCAAUCUCCACCCCCCUCUCCGUCCUCAACCUCCCUCUUGAGAUCGAGCGAGAUCCAGAUCGCGGCCAUGCUCUCCACAGGCUUUCUUGAACUGUCAACACGCGCGCGCCGGCCAGCCAUGGCUUUCCUUUGCCGCCCAACUCGAUCGCAUAUGCUCUUGCAUGUCUCGAUCUCUGCCUGCCUUGUUGAUGGUUCAAGAAAGUCCUUGGAAACCAUGCCCGCCUCUCCCCGCCUCCCUCCACGGGUUUCUUCCCAUCUAUGCCCGCAUGCUCCAUGGAGGCCGGCCAUCGCGCGCGUUCGCGCGCAAUUCGAUCCAUCUGUACGCACGUACGGGUCAUCCAUUACAGAGAGAUAGAGAUGGAGAUGGAGAUACGAAUCCUUGUGAUUGUUAAUUAGGUAGGUAAUGAGAGAAUUCCGUAUGCAUGGUCUAGAUUGUAGUCUGCCCUCUCUUCCCCUUUCUCCCUUUCGCUGAAUUUUGAUGAUAAUCACCAAACUAAAUAGAAAAAAGGGGUACCUUGCUCCGAUCAAUGCCAUGAAUGAAUUGCUUAUUUUAUAAUCAUAUAAUAGAGUUUAUGUCCAUCUCAUAGAACCGAAAUUCAUGGUUCAUUUACAGUUUACCGCCUAUUUGUGACAUUUCAGACGUGUAUAAUUUUUUUCCCAGAGUACUUGGUUCUUUUUUUUGUGUAAGAGUACUUGUUCAAGAUAUGAAAGUGAAAUGGGAUUAAGCCGGUCGCUGCAUGAUGCUAAGGGCCGUUUUGACACACAGAAUUAUGAAAAGUGAUAACAGAAAAAAAAUACAUGAUGCUAAUUACCGUGGUAUCGCAUGUUGAAUUCCACAAAGGUAUAAAUGCACGGAUCGAGGAAGAAACACUCCACAUUUGCGCCAAAAUUUGUAGGCAAAUUUCUAAUCUUGUAAAAUCCUGUGGUGUUACUGCAAACCUAUGAUUUACUAAAUGGUUGGGAUUAUUAGCUGUCUUUUCUUUCCCUCCAUUUGUUUUUUCAAAGUGGCGCUCAGUGUCUCGAACGCUCGGGCAUUGGAUUGUGCACCAUGAUUCAACAAUUUAACCU